UGUUGAGGUAUAUGAUGGACAUCGAGAGGAAAGGUUCAAUUUAAGAGCAUUGUUGUUUGGCACAAUCAAUGAUUUUCUAGGAUAUGGUAAUUUGUCAAGGUAUAGUAUCAAAGGAAAGUUUGGAUGUCCUAUUUAUGAAGAGGGCACACAUUCAAUGAGAUUAGAGUAUGGGAUAAAGAAUGUCUAUCUUGGAUAUCAUAGAUGGUUACAUCCUGAUCAUUAUUAUCGGUGCCUAAAAAAAGCUUUCAAUGGAAAUUCAGAAGAAAGUAAGGAACCUUUGCCACUGAUAGGUGAGCAACAUUUUGACAAGGUGAAGAAUUUGAAUAUCGAGUUUGGCAAACCUUUUGCAAAGCAUCUUGGGACAUGUGGGUAGAAGAAAAGGUCUAUUUCUUUUACCUACCAUAUUGAUAAUCCUUAUAUGUGAGACAUUUUCUUGAUGUUAUACACAUUGAGAAAAAUGUGUGUGACAGUUUGAUUGGUACAUUACUUCAUAUUCAGGGAAAGACCAAAUAUGACAUCAAGGCAAGACUUGAUAUGAUUUUUAUAGGGAUAAGGGAAGAGUUGGCUCUGCAAGAGAGGGGAAGUCGCACAUUUCUUCAUGCAGUGGCUCAUACACUGUCUAGAAGAGAAAAAAAGACUUUUUGUGAGUCACUUGCUACUGUUAAAGUUCUAAAGGGGUACUCUUCAAAUAUUAAGGGCCUUGUGUCAUUGAAGUAUUUGAAGUUAAAGGGUUUAAAAUCACAUAACUGCCAUAUGUUGAUGAAAAAUUUUAUUCCAGUGGCUAUACUUUCUAUUUUACCUGAUACGAUUCGAGCCAUGAUCACAAAAUUGUGUUUCUUCUUCAAGUCUAUAUGUAGUAAAGUGAUUGACCUAACAAAAUUGCCAAGAUUACAAAGUCGAAUUGUGUUAAUCUUAUGUGAACUUGAAAUAUAUUUUCCGCCUGCAUUCUUCAAUAUAAUGGUGCACCUCACUAUUCAUCUAGUUAGAGAGAUACAAAUGUGUGGCCCAGUUUUCUUAAAAUGGAUGUAUCCAUUUGAGCGCUACAUGAAGAUACUAAAAGGAUAUGUGAAAAAUCGGAGUUGACUUGAAGGUUGUAUAGUUGAAUGAUACAUUUGUGAGGAGGCAGUUGAAUUUUAUACUGAGUACUUAUCAAAUGUCAACCAUAUUGGUCUUCCGACUUCUCGGCAUGAUAGUAGAACUGAUGGAGAAGGAAUUAUGGGCAAUAAAGUAGCUACAAUCUCUAACUUACAAUGGGAACAAACACAUUUAUAUGUACUACACAACUCUGUAGAGGUUGAGGAGUAUGUAGAGAUGCACAUGGCCGAGCUUAGGUUAGAUAACCCUAAUAGAUCGGAGAUUUGGUAUGCAAACAAGCAUAAUAAGAGUUUUACAAUUUGGUUGAAACAGCACAUUCUUGAGAAGUUGACUGCCAAUCCUGAUUCAGUUUCUGAAAAAUUAAAAUGGUUGGCAAGAGGUCCAGAUAAACAAGUUCUUUCCUUUACUGGCUAUCUCAUUAAUGGGUACACAUUUUAUACCAAAGAGAAAGAUGAUCAGAGCACAAUGCAAAAUAGUAGUUGAACUCUUAUAGCCUAAGCAAUGCAUAUAUCUAGUACUAAAGACAAAAAUCUCUUGUAAACAAAAAUGUCAUACUUUUGGGUAAUUAAGUAUAUUUGGGAGUUAGAUUACAUCAAUUUUUAAGUUCCAAUUUUUGGUUGUAAGUCGGUUGAUCGAAAAAAUGGUCUUAAAGUUGAUGACUUGGGGUUCUUAAUGGUGGAUCUUAAUCGAGAAGUUUAUAAAGAUGAGCCUUUUAUUUUGGCUUCACAAGCUCACCAAGUGUUCUUUGUUCCUGAUCCGGUUAAAAUAAAUUAGUCUAUCAUUUUAUUGAGCAGUAAAAUAAAUGAAGAUAUGAAUGAUUCUACAGUUGAAGAUGAUCCCUUUAUGGGAAUAUCAUUUGAAAGUUACUUCAUUGAGGAUGAAGUCUUUUAUAUGAGAAAUGAUCACAAUAAAGGUAUUUGAAUUUUAAAGAAAAGAGGUAGAAGCAUUCGAGCAAAGAAGGAGAGCAAAGAUAAGGAAUGUACAAGAAAAAGAAAAAGAACAAUUUAAACCUGUAAAUGGCUUUUCAAAGGAAUCCUGGUCUCAAUGGACCUAGUAGUGUUGAUCCUAGCGUUGAGAUGAAUGACCAACAAAUUUAGCAAGAAGCAAAUCAAAUAACAAGAAGAUUGACAUUGAUGACCGAGGUGAAUAGAAGAAGGGCUGCUGGACAGAAAUAUGAAGUUGAAUGAAAUUUCAAAGGUCAACCUAUCAAGACCAACAGAAAUAAAUUCAUCAACUACAUAGGGGUUGUGGCAAAAGCAAAUGUGCCGAUUACAAUUAGGCACUGAAAUGAUAUUAGUCUAGCUACAAAAAAUUAUAUUUGGGAGCAAGUAGAGCAUUUGCAAUUGAUGCUAGUCAGAUGAAAUUUGUCAUCCAAUAAGUUGGAAAGGCAAUGCGGACAUUUCAGUAUUUCGUGGGAGCGAAAUACAUUAAAAAAUCAGGAGAAAACAUUAGUGCUGAGGUCCCCGACUUGAUAAGGCCAUUAGUUUCACAAGAACAGUGGGAUGAAUUUAUUGCUCAACGUCUCGAGGGACAAUUUCAAGUAAGAAUAAUGAGAUGAAUUUCAACAGUGGCAUACCUGAUGAUGAUGUCUUGGGCAAGGCAUUGGGUAAUCCCGAACACCCUGGUCGAGUUAGGGGAUAUGGCUUUGGUAUCUUGAAAAAACAAAUAUUUGGGUCACAGAAGAAAGCAAGGUGAACAGAAGAUGUGGGUGCAAGGGCUGAGAUUGCCACCCUGAAAGAGGAGCUAUCUAGGCAACAGGACAUGAUUGAAGCUUUGCUAAAUGACAAGGAGAGGCGGGAGGCAGAGUUUCAUAUUAGUCCUAGCGGGAAAGAUAGUUAUAGUGUCAUGCAGCCUAUAAAAAUCUCCCUGAGGUAAAACAUUAUUAAUUUAUUUCACUUAUGUUUCACUAUUUCUAUUUCCCAUAACUUUAAUAUAGUAUAUUACUUAUUAAUAUAGGGUGAAAGCCUAUGUCAGUUGUUGGUAAAUAGCCUGAAUCGUCAUGUGGUUGCUAUCAAUCGAGUGUUUAAUUUGCCGGGAGACAUGCUACAUAAUAUGCCACUUUUUGCGUCCUAUGUAUGUGUUGCUAUUGAUGUGCUGAAAGAUUUGAACUAUCCGCUACCUAUUCCUACUGAGGAUGUAGAGAUUGUUGGAGAGGCGAUGGGUAGUUUUGUUAGAUGGCAAGCUAGUCAAGUUAGGAUGCUAAAUCCAUAAAAAAAACUAGCAAAGAUGCACAGUCAAAAAAGAAGAAGAUGAUACCCCGAUCUAGGCUCUCCUCUAAAAAGGCAGUCCCCCAUAAAGUUGUGCCUAAACAAGAGCCUCAAUUGCCAAGCCAACACAGAAAUUUGCUCUAGACAUAUGCAACGGUUCAUAGGUCUAAUCCUCCAGUCCUACAAAUUCCGUUUGAGGUUGGUAUAUAUGGCGAAGACCGAUAUGAUAUGCUUUCGCUUGAUGUUGUUGAUGAAGUACUUCAACAUGAUAUGACCAGUAUCACUGUUCUCAGCUUCUACAUACGAUAAUUUUUUCCAUAUAUGAAUAGUUAAUAUUUUAAAUAUAAACUAAUCCAUUUCUUGUAUUUAUAAUAGGUGCUUGUAUAAUAAAUUUGUUGUCCCUUUCGA